rnacentral:tRNA from 3 species
CGGGGCGUGGCUCAGCCUGGUUUAGAGCGCUUGGUUCGGGACCAAGAAGUCGGAGGUUCAAAUCCUCUCGCCCCGACCA